GUAUUUUAAUUUUCUCCAGUGGGGCUGUACCUCUUGAAAUGACUUUCUUUCUUUGUUCAAAGGUAUGUCUGUAGGAAUUGCCCUGGGGAAGAGGCCUUAGAAGUUAGUCCUUGAGGAUGCUUUCCUUUGAACGCUCUUGAUUUCUGUCAUGGUGAUAGAGUGGAAAGAGCACUAGAGAUGGAGCCUGAUGGCUGGAUACAACACUCCUCUCUAAUACUAAACUAGCUCUCUGACCGUAGGCAGAUCCCAGUGUCUCUCUAGAAAAGAGUCAUCAGUGUUGCAAACUGUGGAAUACAGCAAACAUUUAUGAAGCACCCAUCAAGUUCAAGGCACUCUCGUGGGGACUGAGACUACCAACGCUUCAGUGGAUCUGGGAUAUUCAUUUUCCGUUCUUUGGAGACUAGUAUUCUCUGAUGCAGAGCCGCAAAGCAACAACAGUAGAGUGCUGGUGACAUUGUGCUGGUUGUACAAAACUCUGGAACAACCCAGUGCCUCUUUGAUGAGAUCCCAAACUGGGAAUACAAAAAUGCAAAAAGACAUUACCUAUUUCUUCCAGGUGUUUGCAAUAUAGUUAGGGGGAUGAGACAAUGCAAAGAAAUAUGAUGUGCAGAGGAACAAGAUUGGGACAAAAGAGAGGUUUAUUUAUUUAUUUUUAAAAAAACUUAUUUUUUUUAGAGUUUUUAGAGUAACAACUCUCAGACAGAAGGGCAAGAGCUAGGCAAAUGAGGUUAAGUGACUUGCCCAGGAUCACCCAGCCAGGAAGUAUCUGAGGACAGACUUGAAAUCAAAGCCUCACUCUCUAGCCACCUCAUUGCCCCAAACUACGUAUAAAAGUAAUUGAGCUUAGAUAGAGGGUUUUGAAAAAUCUGAUGGAGAGAUGGACUUUUAACUAUCAGGGAUGAAGAAAAGGAGGAUAAGUAGAACAGGCUUCCUGGAGGUUGCAAGCAUCCAUUCUGGGUCUUGUUAAUGAAUAGUUUUUUAGCAGUUGGAGAUGUAGAGGAGCAUAUUUUCCAUAUCGUAGGAGAACAGAGUCCUCUGUGUUUAAACUAAAACUCAUUUAUUAUUUCGGGUUUCAUUUAAAUACCCAAAGUAGAGGAACACUUUUUUUGUUGUUAUAUAUGUAUUAUCAUGCAAAACAUUUCCAUAUUGUUCAUUUUUGUAAGUGAAUAAUCAUAUAAAACCCAAACCUAAAUAAACAAGUGAAAAAUCCUAUGCUUUCA
rnacentral:lncRNA from 1 species